rnacentral:lncRNA from 11 species
AUUUGUCCAUUGCAGACAGAAAAGAAAUCUAAGUCUGCAACAAUCCAAAAAGUGGGUUCUGAUGUUAUAAGACUUAGAAUAAUAGAAUCAUAGACUUACACCACUCUAACUCACUAUUAGAAGGCAUGUUGUUUAUAUUUAUUUCUUACUACAGUCAACAAGUUGCAGAUUGAGCUCACGAGGGGCCGGCUUCUGUUUUGUUUACUGCUGAUUGUUGACUUUGAAGUGGAAGUAUCCUGUUCUAUUCUUCAGUAUCCUGUUCACCAGCAACACAGAACUCCAUCCCUUGAUGCAGCCAGAUGGAUUUUAAGGUUCCCUUUAGUGACAUCCAAAAGGAAGAGGAUGCCAGAUGCAAAGAAAGAAACAUGAAAUGGCUCAAGUAGUCUUCUGAUACCCAAAAUUGUAAGUACCAACAGACUUAAUCAAGCUUUGCCAUUUACUGGACAGUCGGGACAUUUAAACUGUAGAAUGAAUACACUUU